GGGGCUGACCGGUUUUGACAGCGCGUAGAGGUGGUGUGUAAGCAUGCAGAGCAAUGAUGGCUACGCUCUUUAAUCUGGGACAUCAAAAUUUUAAAUGGCGAAAACAACUACGCUCUCGCUGCCUGAUUGAAGUAUAGUAGAUCGGCUUAAUUUCCGCAACAGUUGCGGAAACGAGACAUCACCCGAUUGUCAUCGUCCCGAGACUAAUCGACAAGGUGGUGCAGGUAAAUCGGGAAUAGGACGGCUAAAGCCUCGUCGGCCGUCCGAAGUUUUAGAGGAUAAGCCGCCGGUUGGUUGUUGCUGGCCUGCCGACGGACGAAAACCAAGUAGCAACUAAGCAUGUAGAAAGCUCAUUAGUUCCGCGUUUGGACGAGGGUUCGACCCCCUCCAGCUCCACU
rnacentral:tmRNA from 1 species